rnacentral:misc_RNA from 1 species
UCCGAUUUGUCACCGGCAGUCUCCCAUGAGUCCCCGACAUUACUCGCUGGCAACAUGAGAUAGGGGUUGCGCUCGUUGCGGGACUUAACCCAACAUCUCACGACACGAGCUGACGACAACCAUGCAGCACCUCUGCUGGCUCCCUUGCGGGUCAGUCUCUGUUUCCAAAGACUUACACCAGUAGUUCAAGCCCAGGUAAGGUUCUUCGCGUUGCGUCGAAUUAAACCACAUGCUCCACCGCUUGUGCGGGCCCCCGUCAAUUCCUUUGAGUUUCACCCUUGCGGCCGUACUCCCCAGGCGGCUCAUUUAAUGCGUUAGCUGCGCCACUGACGAGCAUGCUCGCCAACGGCUAGCCUCCAUCGUUUACGGCGUGGACUAC